GAUGAAGAACGUAGCGAAAUGCGAUACUUGGUGUGAAUUGCAGAAUCCCGUGAACCAUCGAGUCUUUGAACGCAAGUUGCGCCCGAAGCCAUUAGGCCGAGGGCACGCCUGCCUGGGCGUCACACGUCGUUGCCCCCCCAUCUACUCCUUCGGGAUUGCGGGGGGCGGAUGAUGGCCUCUCGUGCGCCUCGUCGCACGGUUGGCCUAAAUGCCAAGUCCUCGGCGACGCACGCCACGACAAUCGGUGGUUGCGAAACCUCGGUUGCCUGUCGUGUGCGGUCGUCGCGCAUCGAGGGCUCGAAAAAAUUGCCGGGCUUCGGCUCGACUUUCAACGCGACCCCAGGUCAGGCGGGGUUACCCGCUGAAUUUAAGCAUAUCAAUAAGCGGAGGA
rnacentral:misc_RNA from 1 species